UUACGGAAGGCAGCAAUUAGGAAUCUUGCGCAAUGGGCGAAAGCCUGACGCAGCGACGCCGCGUGACUGAUGAAGUCUUUCGGGAUGUAAAGGUCUUUUGCAGGGGACGAAGGAAGUGACGGUACCCUGCGAAUAAGCCCCGGCUAACUACGUGCCAGCAGCCGCGGUAAUACGUAGGGGGCGAGCGUUGUCCGAAUUCACUGGGCGUAAAGCGCGCGUAGGCGGGUUAUUAAGUUGUGGGUGAAAUCCCGAGGCUCAACCUCGGAGCUGCCUGCAAAACUGGUAACCUUGAGGUAUGGAGAGGGAAGUGGAAUUCCUGGUGUAGCGGUGAAAUGCGUAGAUAUCAGGAGGAACACCCGUGGCGAAGGCGGCUUCCUGGCCAUAUCCUGACGCUGAGGUGCGAAAGCUAGGGGAGCGAACGGGAUUAGAUACCCGUGUA
rnacentral:rRNA from 1 species